rnacentral:rRNA from 1 species
GACGAACGCUGGCGGCGUGCUUAACACAUGCAAGUCGAACGGAAAGGCCCUGCUUUUGUGGGGUGCUCGAGUAGCGAACGGGUGAGUCACACGUGAGUAACCUGCCCUUGACUUUGGGAUAACUUCAGGAAACUGGGGCUAAUAACGGAUAGGAGCUCCUGCUGCAUGGUGGGGGUUGGAAAGUUUCGGCGGUUGGGGAUGGACUCGCGGCUUAUCAGCUUGUUGGUGGGGUAGUGGCUUACCAAGGCUUUGACGGGUAGCCGGCCUGAGAGGGUGACCGGCCACAUUGGGACUGAGAUACGGCCCAGACUCCUACGGGAGGCAGCAGUGGGGAAUAUUGCACAAUGGGCGGAAGCCUGAUGCUGCAACGCCGCGUGCGGGAUGACGGCCUUCGGGUUGUAAACCGCUUUCGCCUGUGACGAAGCGUGAGUGACGGUAAUGGGUAAAGAAGCACCGGCUAACUACGUG